rnacentral:rRNA from 1 species
UACGUAGGGGGCGAGCGUUGUCCGGAAUCAUUGGGCGUAAAGCGCGCGUAGGUGGCCCGGUAAGUCCGCUCUGAAAGUCACAGGCUCAACCUGUGAAAGCGGGUGGAUACUGCCGGGCUAGAGUCCGGAAGAGGCGAGUGGAAUUCCUGGUGUAGCGGUGGAAUGCGCAGAUAUCAGGAGGAACACCAACGGCGAAGGCAGCUCGCUGGGACGGUACUGACACUGAGGCGCGAAAGCGUGGGGAGCGAACAGG